UGGAGCGUGUGGUUUAAUUCGAUGCUACACGAAGAACCUUACCAGGGUUUGACAUGCAGGUGGUAGUGAAGCGAAAGCGGAACGACUCUUCGGAGAGCCUGCACAGGUGCUGCAUGGCUGUCGUCAGCUCGUGUCGUGAGAUGUUCGGUUAAGUCCGCUAACGAGCGCAACCCCUGCCGUGUGUUACAAGUGUCACACGGGACUGCCGGUCUUAAGCCGGAGGAAGGUGGGUAUGACGUCAAGUCAGCAUGGCC
rnacentral:rRNA from 1 species